rnacentral:rRNA from 1 species
CCCUUAGACGUUCUGGGCCGCACGCGCGCUACACUGACCAGGGCAACAAGCAUCCGUCCUUGGCCGACAGGCCCGGGCAAUCUUUGAACGCUGGUCGUGAUGGGGAUAGACUUUUGCAAUUUUUGGUCUUCAACGAGGAAUUCCUAGUAAACGCAAGUCAUCAACUUGCAUUGAUUACGUCCCUGCCCUUUGUACACACCGCCCGUCGCACCUACCGAUUGAAUGGUCCGGUGAAGCCUCCGGAUUGGCGCGCACCUCGGUGCCGCCGAGAAGUUGGCUAAACCUUACCAUUUAGAGGAAGGUGAAGUCGUAACA